AUGGGAUGGGGCGACGACGACGGCGGCAGCGGCCUUCUCUCGGUGCUUGCUGAUGUGGUGGCCAUCGACACCGGCAACGAGUUGCAGCACGUAGACAUCAAAGGCUGCGGGUGUGACGGAGGAGCACCAUGGCGGGCGUGCAGGCCAUGGCUCUCUAUGUUAAGGGAGCAUUCCUCAAUUUUUUGGGGGUUCAACGGAACAGCAGGAGUGUGGAGAAUUAAGGCACUCGAGGACUCUGGAAUAUGGAUGGAGAGAACAACAGUUGAAGACAUGGAUAUUGCUGUUCGAGCACAUAUAAAGGGAUGGAAGUUUCUGUUAUGGUUGAUGACUUUUCUGGUCGUCAUUUGUGUAUUUCCUCUUCGGAGGGUGAUCUCGUCGCCCACGGAUAAGCAAUCCAAGGAGAAGAGAGUAGGGUCUGCGCCCAACUUGACUCCCUAUAAAAGGAGGGGAGGUGGCUGCGAGCAUGCCAUCAGCGUUGGGUCGAUGGUGUUGUGCCUCGGCAGCCGGGAUCAUGCAAUGCAGAUGGGAAGCAGCAGUGCCGCCUCUCCCCCCGAGCUCCAGAUACAUGAUAGCAGCAUCGAGGAGGAGAAAAACUACAUUCAGAGGUUACAGAAUGGCAAUGGGUGGCAUGGUUAG
rnacentral:rRNA from 1 species